AAUUUAUAUGUAGGAAAAUCGGACUGAACAAUUUAUAUGUAGAAAAUGUAAGCCUUUUUUUCAGUGUAUAGAGUUUUGGGCCUGGCCUUUUCGGAGGCCCAAAGCUAGCCCUACAGUAGGACCCUGUACCCUGCAGUGUUCACUCAUUUGCUCUUGUAUCCCUUCUCAGAAAACAGUUUCCUCUGCUCUCUUGUCCUCUGCUAGGGCACACCAGCCGCACGUCUCCGAGCUACCAAGACCUUUUCUUUUCCAACUCAUUCCUGAAGUUGUAGUACCCCUUAGUUCAGAUCGGGUUGCUUUUGGUGCUCAAUAUAGAGAUGAGAGGGAGGUUCGAGAUGGAUCCGGGAGACGCAACGGUGCGGCUUAGUUUUCCCUAUAUGGAUGCCUUAGGAGUAGUUUCAUGGCCAUGAGGCCUUUUUGUAUUAGUUGCCUUGAGGGCAACCCUUUUGCAAGACCUUUGAACCCUUAAAUUUCCUUUUGCUUAGGACCAUGUGGUAUGCCUAAGUUUCCUUUGGAGUAUUUCCGGAUGACUGUAAUAGUUAUCUUCCCUACGUUUUAUAUUCAUCUGAAUGCUUCUCGUUA